rnacentral:rRNA from 1 species
UACGUAGGGUGCAAGCGUUGUCCGGAAUUAUUGGGCGUAAAGAGCUCGUAGGCGGUUUGUCGCGUCUGCUGUGAAAACUCGGGGCUUAACCCCGGGCCUGCAGUGGGUACGGGCAGACUAGAGUGCGGUAGGGGAGACUGGAAUUCCUGGUGUAGCGGUGAAAUGCGCAGAUAUAGGAGGAACACCGGUGGCGAAGGCGGGUCUCUGGGCCGUAACUGACGCUGAGGAGCGAAAGCGUGGGGAGCGAACAGG